GACGAACGCUGGCGGCGUGCCUAAUACAUGCAAGUCGAACGAAGCUUUUUUAACUGGUGCUUGCACUGACUUAAACAACUGAGUGGCGAACGGGUGAGUAACACGUGGGUAACCUGCCCCAAAGCGGGGGAUAACAUUUGGAAACAGAUGCUAAUACCGCACAACCACAGAAACCACAUGGUUUCUAUGUCAAAGAUGGUUUCGGCUAUCACUUUGGGAUGGACCCGCGGCGUAUUAGCUAGUUGGUAAGGUAAUGGCUUACCAAGGCAAGGAUACGUAGCCGAACUGAGAGGUUGAUCGGCCACAUUGGGACUGAGGCACGGCCCAAACUCCUACGGGAGGCAGCAGUAGGGAAUCUUCCACAAUGGACGAAAGUCUGGUGGAGCAACGCCGCGUGAGUGAAGAAGGUUUUCGGAUCGUAAAACUCUGUUGUCAGAGAAGAACGUGUGCGAGAGUAACUGUUCGUGCAGUGACGGUAUCUGGCCAGAAAGCCACGGCUAACUACGUGCCAGCAGCCGCGGUAA
rnacentral:rRNA from 1 species